rnacentral:rRNA from 1 species
CAGCAGCCACGGUAAUACGAAGGGGGCUAGCGUUGUUCGGAAUUACUGGGCGUAAAGCGCACGUAGGCUGACAUUUAAGUCAGGGGUGAAAUCCCGGGGCUCAACCUCGGAACUGCCUUUGAUACUGGGUGUCUUGAGUGUGGAAGAGGUAAGUGGAAUUGCGAGUGUAGAGGUGAAAUUCGUAGAUAUUCGCAGGAACACCAGUGGCGAAGGCGGCUUACUGGUCCACAACUGACGCUGAGGUGCGAAAGCGUGGGGAGCAAACAGGAUUAGAUACCCCUGUAGUCCCUGUCUCUUAUAC